rnacentral:rRNA from 1 species
UAAUGCAUAGGAAUCUGCCCGAUAGUGGGGGAUAACCUGGGGAAACCCAGGCUAAUACCGCAUACGUCCUACGGGAGAAAGGGGGCUCCGGCUCCCGCUAUGGGAUGAGCCUAUGUCGGAUUAGCUAGUUGGUGAGGUAACGGCUCACCAAGGCGACGAUCCGUAGCUGGUCUGAGAGGAUGAUCAGCCACAUCGGGACUGAGACACGGCCCGAACUCCUACGGGAGGCAGCAGUGGGGAAUAUUGGACAAUGGGGGAAACCCUGAUCCAGCCAUGCCGCGUGUGUGAAGAAGGCCCUCGGGUUGUAAAGCACUUUCAGCGAGGAAGAACGCCUAGCGGUUAAUACCCGCUAGGAAAGACAUCACUCGCAGAAGAAGCACCGGCUAACUCCGUGCCAGCAGCCGCGGUAAUACGGAGGGUGCAAGCGUUAAUCGGAAUUACUGGGCGUAAAAGCGCGCGUAGGUGGCUUGAUAAGCCGGUUGUGAAAGCCCCGGGCUCAACCUGGGGAACGGCAUCCGGAACUGUCAAGCUAGAGUGCAGGGAGAGGAAAGGUAGAAUUCCCGGGUGUAGCGGGUGAAAUGCGUAGAGAUCCGGGAGGGAAUACCAGUGGCGAAGGCGGCCUUUCUGGACUGACACUGACACUGAGGUGCGAAAGCGUGGGGUAGCAAACAGGGAUU